rnacentral:rRNA from 1 species
GAUGAACGCUGGCGGCGUGCCUAAUACAUGCAAGUCGAGCGAACAGAUGAGGAGCUUGCUCCUCUGACGUUAGCGGCGGACGGGUGAGUAACACGUGGAUAACCUACCUAUAAGACUGGGAUAACUUCGGGAAACCGGAGCUAAUACCGGAUAAUAUAUUGAACCGCAUGGUUCAAUAGUGAAAGACGGUUUUGCUGUCACUUAUAGAUGGAUCCGCGCCGCAUUAGCUAGUUGGUAAGGUAACGGCUUACCAAGGCAACGAUGCGUAGCCGACCUGAGAGGGUGAUCGGCCACACUGGAACUGAGACACGGUCCAGAAUCCUACGGGAGGCAGCAGUAGGGAAUCUUCCGCAAUGGGCGAAAGCCUGACGGAGCAACGCCGCGUGAGUGAUGAAGGUCUUCGGAUCGUAAAACUCUGUUAUUAGGGAAGAACAAAUGUGUAAGUAACUAUGCACGUCUUGACGGUACCUAAUCAGAAAGCCACGGCUAACUACGUG